CCUACGGGAGGCAGCAGUAGGGAAUCUUCCACAAUGGGCGAAAGCCUGAUGGAGCAACGCCGCGUGAGUGAUGAAGGCCUUCGGGUUGUAAAACUCUGUCAUUCGGGACGAACCGGAGUCUGAGGAAAUGCAGACUCUCUGACGGUACCGGAGGAGGAAGCCCCGGCUAACUACGUGCCAGCAGCCGCGGUAAUACGUAGGGGGCAAGCGUUGUCCGGAUUCACUGGGCGUAAAGCGCGCGCAGGCGGUGAUGUAAGUCUGAGGUGAAAACCCGAAGCUCAACUUCGGGACUGCCUUGGAUACUGCGUCACUUGAGGAUAGGAGAGGCAAGGGGAAUUCCACGUGUAGCGGUGAAAUGCGUAGAGAUGUGGAGGAACACCUGUGGCGAAGGCGCCUUGCUGGCCUAUUUCUGACGCUGAGGCGCGAAAGCGUGGGGAGCAAACAGGAUUAGAUACCCUGGUAGUCCACGCUGUAAACGAUGAGUGCUAGGUGUAGGUGGGCUCAUACCCAUCUGUGCCGAAGCUAACGCAUUAAGCACUCCGCCCUGGGGGAGGUACGGUCGCGAGACGUAGAAACGUUAAAGUUAGAAGUUAGUUACGGCGUUGAGGACGUUGCCGACGGACGACGACGAGGGAGGUUAGG
rnacentral:rRNA from 1 species